GGGCUUUAUUGCUUCAGAAAUAUCCCUGCCCUGGGGAUCAUAUGUCUCUCCUGGUGCUGGGAACUACUCUGCUGGAGGCAAUGUGGGACCCAGCACCUGGGUGGCAAGGAGGAGGAGGUGAGGGAGGAGGAUUUGGCUUCAGCUCAUUGUAAAUUAAGGUCCCUUCUACAACAACCCCCUGAGUGAAGGCAAUACCUGUUAAGAUGCAUGACAUUUUAGGAUUGGUAAUCAAAUUCAUCAGUAAUACCUAAUGAGAAUUAACUAACUCAUUCUUUACGAGGCAAACCUAUUGGAGAAGGGCGUGUACAAGAAUUAAAUGACAGUUGGAAGAGAGCAAGUGAAUUGUCACUGGGAGGAAGUCCUGAGGAGCCUGUGCAAGACGCGAGAGGGCGCUAUAGACCCUCAAGAAGAGAAGUGUGGUGGCGAAUCAGAAAGGGAGGAACACCUUUUACAUCUUGUGGAACUCACUUUGGAUAUGUGGAGUGAUAUGACUGUGAAGCAAGAAAGGGGCCUUGGACUAUGGACAUAUUCAAAAGAUCCAUCGUAAAUGCUGACUUUUGGAGUUUUAGAAGCUAAUUUUUGUUUGGCCUUGCCUGUGUAAGAAUAUACAGGGAAAUUCAUCACAGGGCUUCCUGGCAAGGUCCAUCCUAGGUCAUUCAGAGGCUGCGUUCCUCAGCCACAGCUUUUUUGUUUCCUGGAAAUCCUCAGAUCCUCCUCUGUGAUACCAAAAUAUCUGCUUCUUGCAACACACCUCGCCAUUGCCAACACAAUCUGUUGUAAUGAACUGACUUUUUUUUUCUUUCCUUGUGUUCUUCAGGAUUCUUAAUCUCACUUGCCUUUUCCUGAAUCAAAGCAUUUGAGUUUGGCUUCAAGUUAAUUUUCCAUCUGUUUAAUCUCCAUGAUUUCUGAGUGUAUUCAGUGAUGAGUGCACUGGACUGUUCUAUUUCUUUUCUUUUCUUUUUUUUUUUUUUGUCUUUUUGCCUUUUCUAGGGCCAUUCCCGUGACAUAUGGAGGAUCCCAGGCUAAGAGUCUAACCGGAGCUGUAGCCGCCAGCCUACGCCACAGCCAUAGUAACGCUGGGAUCCGAGCCACAUCUGUGACCUACACUACAGCUCACGGCAACACCAGUUCCUUAACCCCUUGAGCGAUGCUAGGGACCGAACUCGCAACCUCAUGGUUCCUAGUUGGAUUCGUUAACCACUGAGCCACGACGGGAACUCCCUAUUUCAUUCUUGAUCACAGUUUAGAAGGACAGAUCAUUUAACUAUUCUGGGCUUCAGUUUCCUCAUGAUUUAAAUGAGAAUUUUAGUUGUGUGCUCCGUCAGGUCUUUUCCAGAGCUAACGGGGAGUCUGUAUGCCUGUAAAAGCAAGUAUAGAAGACUGGAAAGAACAUGGGCUCUGCAUCAAAGAAAGCUGAGUGCAAAUCUUAGAGUUUUGUGAUUUUGGCUUUGUCACUGUUGUUUUCUGAGGUGUAUUUUCUUUUUCAUUCAUAUUCCUUUUUUAUCCUUCUGAUCCAAUGAAUUGCACUGCCCCGUCUUCAAGUCUGC
rnacentral:lncRNA from 1 species